rnacentral:rRNA from 1 species
AACGAACGCUGGCGGCAGGCUUAACACAUGCAAGUCGAACGCCCCGCAAGGGGAGUGGCAGACGGGUGAGUAACGCGUGGGAACGUGCCCUUCGCUUCGGAAUAGCCCCGGGAAACUGGGAGUAAUACCGGAUACGCCGUAUUGGGAAAGAUUUAUCGGCGAAGGAUCGGCCCGCGUUGGAUUAGCUAGCUGGCGGUGUAAUGGACCACCAAGGCUACGAUCCAUAGCUGGUCUGAGAGGAUGAUCAGCCACACUGGGACUGAGACACGGCCCAGACUCCUACGGGAGGCAGCAGUGGGGAAUCUUGGACAAUGGGCGCAAGCCUGAUCCAGCCAUGCCGCGUGAGUGAAGAAGGCCUUAGGGUUGUAAAACUCUUUCGCCGGAGAAGAUAAUGACGGUAUCCGGAGAAGAAGCCCCGGCUAACUUCGUGCCAGCCGCCGCCGUAAGAC